rnacentral:tRNA from 1 species
UCCCUGGUGUCUAGUGGCUAGGAUUUGGCGCUUUCACUGCUGUGGCCCGGGUUCAAUCCCUGGUUUGGGAA